UACGUAGGGGGCUAGCGUUGUCCGGAAUCAUUGGGCGUAAAGAGCGUGUAGGCGGCUCGGUAAGUCCGCUGUGAAAGUCCAGGGCUCAACCCUGGAAUGCCAGUGGAAACUGUCGGGCUAGAGUCCGGAAGAGGCGAGUGGAAUUCCUGGUGUAGCGGUGAAAUGCGCAGAUAUCAGGAGGAACACCAAUGGCGAAGGCAGCGCGCUGGGACGGUACUGACGCUGAGACGCGAAAGCGUGGGGAGCAAACAGG
rnacentral:rRNA from 1 species